rnacentral:lncRNA from 1 species
GCAGAAUUUUCUCAGAAAUUGUGGGACAGGGCAAAAUCAGGUAGAAGGCAGGAAAGUUGUCUCAAAAAAAUUUUUUUUCUAUCCCCGUAGUAUAUCCAUACAACAGUGAAAUCAGAAGCACUCAGUUGUCUUGCUGUAACAGCUUGUUUAAUUUAUUCUUUCUGGGAAGACAAAGCCAACUGGACAUCUUCAUCAUGAACCUGCUUCUUGAACAGAAGUGAGCUUGGGAUUUAGGCCACUCAGUUAUGUCUUUCAAUGUUUUUCUCUGUUACUUGAGUUCUAUUAACUUAAAAAACAAAUAUAAAUGUAUUUGACCCAAUGAUUGCCUUACAGAGCACUCUGCUCCUGAGUUGACAUUUGAUAAUCUCCAUCUUCUGUUUGCAUUUUGGGAGUCAUAGACCUACCCUGUAACAUCUUCCUACACUGUUCAUCAUCCUGUAGCACUCUUUCAGCUCAAGUGAAGGUGUGUUUGUUUAUUGUUAGAUAAUUAAUUGAUCAAAUACUUCGAAACAGGAACAAAAGUUCCAAAACAUUCUUCCCUAUGCCAGGGUCAAUGGAGGUGUCAGGGUAACACAUAGGACUUUAAAACUGGUUGAAUUACAUCUAGUCCCCAAGCCGCAGAAUGGGGAUUUUCAGUAAUUUAGGAAAAUGACAAGAGCCUUGAAACCCAUUUCUGAAGGUCCCCUGCAACCUUAUGGGAAUCAUAAUGCCCCAUCUGCUGCCAUAAAGCUCCUUAGCAGGUGGGGCCGUGGGCUCACAAAAUUGCCUUAGGACCCACAAUUUUCUUAAAAGUUCCUUCUGUGAUGUGGUGAGUUAUGAGAGCUGUGUGCUCCAGAAUCCUCCUGCAGCUGCUCCUCCAUCUGUAUCCUGGGGUAAACCACCUUGGGAAGCACUCAUAUAUGGAGCGGCAGAUCCUUCCCGCAUCGGGAAGGGAGACCUGUGCCAGAUGGACCCAGUUUUUGAAGAGCUCUGGACUUCACUGCUGUCCUUCCUUAGAAGAUCCUGCUGACUUCAGAUGGAUUUUUGCCUGUGAGGGUUGAAGAAAUUUCUGUAUCAAGCAGAUUAUC